GGUUUUGACUUUUGAACUGUGGAAGACACUCGGAGCACAACGCAUAGACACCACAGCAGCACAGUAGACACAGACAGCCUCAGUUGCAGUGCCAGCGAGCUCGGUUGUGGUAGGGUGGUGCAGGACAUUACAUCCAGUGUGAUGGAUGCUUCGCCAGAGAUCGCCGCCGAGGAGGAAAAAGUGCGGCGACGGCGAUCCACAGUGGCAGGGUGCCGCCGCUCCUUCGCCAGUGUAGGGGGCCGGCUGUCCCUGGCAGGUCCCCCAGCCCCAUGCCUCGAAGACCAGAUCCUGCGGUUGGACGAGAAUCAGCCCUGGGAUACCAAUCUGAACUUGUUGCUAGACAUUGCUUUGCGUGAAGCUGCAAGAAGACUGGAGACACGGUUGUCUGGAGAUGAGUGUGUGUCAGAGCUGAGAGCAGAUGUCGUGAAACAGUCUGGUGCCUUAGCAAACCAGAUCUCUGAGCUGGUGUCUGGCCUAAUGCCUUCUGUUACUGAUGCCAAUGGGCAUUAUAGUUCAGGCACAAGUGCUGGCAUUGAUGCAUACAACAGGAAGACAAAAGCACUGGGACAGGAGUACAGCAAAUGGAAAGCAAUGAGUAAGCAGAGGGUCGCUGAAUGUCGAACUGCUGAAAUGAAGUUCCAGGAGGCCAAGUCUGGGCAGACCACCAUGUAUGAGGGUUUGGAGCACCUCAACCCAGCUCAACAGAAGCUGCUGGACAGUUGGCCUGAUUGUUCUCUCUUUGUGGAGGAAGCACAUCAGGCGAGAGAAAAGACCUACCUGGCACUAGAAGAGGUGAGAAGAACCACACAGGUAGUGAACGGUCUUCUUGUAGCCUCCAAGCUUCAGGCAGACAGUAGCUAUACUGCUUUAGAGAGUCUGACCAAUGCACACAUUGAGAAAGAGUCACUGACUGAACUUGUAAACAGUCUAAUGCAACAGCACAAGACCUGCUGACCUGGAGGAAAGGAUGCACAGUCGUCUGCAGGAUAGGCUGGUGUGUGUCUGUUUGAAGGGACUGGUGGGCUGUGGCACAAAUCAACUGUCAGCGUAAGAAAGAGGUGGCAGCCUUAAAUUUCUUGCAUCAAGGUAGUAUGCAGUCCUUCACCCCAAGUAUCAAUCCUGCAAGCAAAUAAGGGUUAGGGAUAUAUUCUGGAGAACCACCAACAAAAUGUAAUCAAUAAAAUUUAUUUCUGAUGAAUAAAGCAGUAUUAAAAGUAA
rnacentral:misc_RNA from 1 species